CACUCACCGUCCAUGAUGAGUGACUCAUCCAUGACUCAGCCAAUCAAAAUGAGGGGGACAGAAAAAGAGGACGACGCAUGGUCACACUCACCUUCCAUGAUGAGUGACUCGUCCAUGACUCAGCCAAUCAAAAUGAGGGGGAGAGAAAAAGAGGACGACGCAUGGUCACACUCACCUUCCAUGAUGAGUGACUCGUCCAUGACUCAGCCAAUCAAAAUGAG